UCUCUUCAUUAGUUUCUUAAUGUUUUCCUCCAUAUUUAGCUCAAACUAAAGCUUCAGCUUCAGACUUGUGUUUGUUCUUGAUUAAGAUCAUGAGUUAUUGUAAGUAGAGUUUUUGAGCUUAUUCUCAGUUGUUCUUUUAAUUUGAUACAACACACUCAUAGCAUGUGUUGAUUGCCACAAACGGAAAUGUGCAUCUGUAGUCAAGCAUUUGGUCACACCAUUGUUUUAAGCCUGUAGUUUGUUCUUUCAAGUGUCGGUAUGACAAAGGCACAAACGCUAAGGCAUUAAGUCCAAAAACCCAGUCAGUCUGGCACUGCUUUCUCUGUCACCAGGAGUUCACGUUUUGGAAAGCCCAAAGAAAGAAUCGGGGAAAGUUUCAGAGGUAACAGGUGGUUUAGUGUGCAUGGUUAAGUGAUCAUACAGAAAAAACAUGUUUACGAGAGCAUCUAAUAUUAUUUAGGCACAAUGUUCCUUUUUUUUUAAUGAGUGUGAUAAUUCUGCUUCCUUGUGCAGCAUCGCUCAUUGAUGCAACCGCCCAACAAAAAGUAACAAAACCUCCGGUAUCUUUUCAGAGGAAAUCGACGUUUUUAUGAGCCAGUGCAGCCUGUUUUUAUUUUCUCACAGCAAAUAGCUGUGAGGUGUGGAGCUAUGAAUACUGUGGGGUCAACCCGCUCUGAUGCUGUAAAUGCUAACAGGGCCAGUUGGUAAUGAGUGAGGCCACAGACCAGCACUCUAUUCAACCAUCUAACCAAAGAAACCAAACAGAGGACAGCCGCUUUUAUUUAUGUAUUUUUUUACCAACAAAGGCACACAUGAAAAGAGAACCACCGACAAAAGACAAAAGAGAGGCUAAUUGUCAUUGAUCUCUCAUUAAUCUUGUCUGCAGCUUUAGCUGCUGCUGCUCUGUGGGAUUGUUUAAGAGGUAUAAGAUAAAGGGACCAUAAAAUUAGGGUUACUCUGUCAAUACUUACAUGUAAGGAGACUUUACAUUGUUAAUCCUAAUAGCCUCUUGUAGAACUAUAUGGUUUAUAAAUGGAGAACAACCUUUUUAAUGUUUUGUGUUAAAUGUGUCUAUUUCUGUGUUCUUAUGAAGCAUAGAAAAUUGUAGAAAUGACUGAAAACAACCAUCCUGAAUUUUAACUGUGAAGUCACUUGACAUGACUGCUCUGCAGGGCUAAAACCUUUAAGCAAUAAUGUUGAAGAUAAAAUGGCAUAAGGUACCUCAGUCCAUCUAAAGCCACACUAAAGAGGAAGAAUCAAGCUUACAUUCCCAGAUUGCAACUCUGAAUCUUAUCUUACUUCCUCAGGCAAGAGUUUUAUUGCAGACAUGCUAGUUAAAAAGUACUCUGUCAAAACAUUUUAAAAAUUAACAUGAAUGAAAGUGUGACGAAUGAGUGAAAUGAGUGUUUUUGUUGUCAGCAAGACAAGACACAUGAGAGAUGUUGUCAGUGAUUUUAAACAACAGCAUAUAAGAGCAUCAACACAACUCAGAAACUUAAAUACUAAACUCUGCAAUGCUAAGGGACCUUGUCAAUCCUGUGUCCCUUUAUCACCCUUUCUGGCUUCUUAUCCUUCAUAAGUUGACUGUAGACCACCACAAAAAACAAAAUACAAAAAAAUAGCUGUUCAGUGUCAGAAGGGUUUUUGGGAUAUGACAGCUGAAAGUAUAUGUUUUUUUUUUCUUUUCUAAGGUUGGGCGUGAAAGAUGGGCUGUGGGGUUUUAAUUUUGAUGUUAAAUAAAUGAAUGAAGUGUCUGAAUUAUCCUCACAUGCUAACAAUUAAAAGAAUUAAUUUAAUGUAGAAUUAAAAAACAUCAGUUUGCAUUGAACUCCAGCUUUGCUUAAUUACCAGGUACUUUAAAUGUAAUCUGUCUUAUUUAAACCUCUGAGACCUGAGAUAGUCAUGUAGAUGUCUGCAGUUCCACUGUUUGCCCAUGGGGUGUCACUGUUUAGACAAUUAUCUUUUAACUUCUGUACUUCACUCUGGUACAGAAUCUGUCACAUUUGACAACUUUCUUGUAAGUCAUUCCUAAAUUCUCUGAAUAACAAGUUCACAGAAAAUAAAAGUAUUUAAGUUCAAUAAUCUCUUUAUUAUAAUUGAAUAUCCUGCACAACAUAUGUACCUUAAUUACACUAACAGUGAUUUAUGACACUAUCUGAACUUGGGCGAAAAGGGAAAAUAUGUAGUAACUAAGUGAAACUGUGUUAGUAUUUUACUAAGUAAGUAACUUAACAUGAUGAACCCUGCGUUUUUAGUUGAUCCAAGUGAAUAUUGAAAUUAGCAUGUAUAAAAAUUCUCCCACAUAAUGUAUUGUCAUUAGAAGACCAGAGGUGAGGCAUUAGGUAACAGUCUUCUUGGCAGCGUCAGUUGGAUGAAUGCCAACACCUGCAAAACAGUGCUUGCCCUAUAUGUCCUGCUUGAAUCCUGUCUGUUUUAGCAAGAAAAGAAGAAGCCUGUCAAAGUUUAUCAAACCUAAAAUGGGCGACUCUGACCAGUUAGUAAUUGGACACAAAGCUGAUUUUUUUAAACAUGGAUCCUGAAAGUAACGGUAGAUGAAGGAUGCCCUGAGGGUUGGCUUCUUUCACUGUAACUUUUGUAAGAAAAUCAAAUGCAGGCUGAUCAUAACAAAGCUGUGUAGGUAGGAUAGUCCUUCAUGCCUCUUGAAAACAAAGCUUCCUCAUGUAAUAGUGCUUUUAUGGCAGAGUUGUGUGGCAGUCUUAGAUAUUUGUGCUAAAAUGUCACCUUGCCUGCUCCUCAGUUACACAGGGAUUUAAUGAAAAGAUAUUGUUUUAGCAGACUCUGUAACCUUUAAAUACCUAUAGCUGUUUUUAAUCCAAAUAAAAUCAAGGCUAAUGCUUCAUUACUGAGUAUUUUUACAUAAUGAUCCUCAUGCUGCUGCUGUUAAUUUUUUUAUUAACGCAAUUACCAGGCUCUUAGUGGCCGGGGUCAGCGGGGUCUAAUUACCCUGCGUCAUGCUGGUAAAUAGUUGGAGGUGUCUCUGAGCAGGUGGCCCCUGAGGUAAGAGGGAGACAUGGGGCAUACCGAGGCGGGCAAUUACUGGAUGAAUUUCACUUUAAUAAAUGUUGAGCUACAUUUGGAAAUUCAGAUAACAGAGCUUUCUGCCUAAUGGGUGCUGCACUGAGGCCACUUGAGCAAGAAAAUGAUCUGAAAGAGGGUUUAAUUAACACAAGCUACAUGAUCCAGGGAGCGCGUGACAGAAUGUUAAAGUGAGGGGGAGAGCACACAGCGCAGGGAUAAUAUGAAAAUUAGUGAGGAGGAGGAGGAGGGUGGGAUGGGGAGUGAAAGGGGGGUUGGGGUGCCAACUUUUGUUUCACAGGUUUGAAGUCUAGAUUUUUGCUUCUGUUUUCCACAUUGUGACAGUGCGGCUGUGUCACAAACAUCAUCAACAUCUGUAUAAACAGAGAUAAAACACCAGCCGUGAGCAUGACACCAACCAGAACAAUGAUGCAGUUUGAUUUGAUAAUAUCGCACUACAUACGACAUGAAUUAUAUAUUUGGUUUGAGACAGAAUGAAAAGAUAUCAAUGGCUUUUAUUUUUUCCACCCAAAUGGCCUCUGAAGUUUUACUGCAAAUUCAGAGCGAAUUCUCCACUAACUAUUAGCCCAACUUGGUUACAGUUUUGUUUUACUGGAUCACUUUAUUUCCUUUACCAGUUGUGGUAACAAUCAAAAAGCAGACUCAGUGACUUUAUGUGAGAUAAUUAAGGAACAUGUAUAAGAUUUCUUUCCAUCUGUAAGUAAAACAAUAACUUUUAAAGCUAUUUUGACAGAUUGUUUUGGACAUUUCUCCAUCCUUAUUCUUCGGCCUUAAGUAAAAAAUGUACAAUAGACUUUGAAAAGACAUUAUUAGCACUUAUUAAAUGCUCUCGAUCUUAUUUCUAUUAAUGGCUAACCUCCACAAGGUUCAAAAAGCUGUAUUCUAUAGAGGUUCAUAGGAGAAGUACCUUACUUUCACUGGAUUGAUAAACUAGGUAAACAUUGUCACAAAGAGUUCCUUGUUUGACUUGUAGUUUAUAAGUUUGUUUACUAAAGACGGCCCCAUUUAAGGUGAAGUAGAAAUAAUGCAGGGUGUGUUUAAGUACACAGCUACCUAUGAUAAACAAGUUGCUACUGCAGUGACCUUUCAGUAAUGGUACAUAUCUACCCGCUUGUCCAAAAGUAGCCUAGUCCUCGGGUUAAAAAAAACAAGAUGAUGGCGGUCAAAACGUUGGACUUGAGUCAUGAAAACAAAUUUCCACAAAAUAAUAAGUCUUAAUUCCGUCUUACGUUUGCUCUCAUUCACUGGAACGUUAUUUCAAUCAUAAUAAUCCCUGACAAAACGUGGUGAAGUGGGCAGCAAUACAGAGGUCCAGAAUCAGGCUACAAUAUUUCCCCUCUCCAAGAUUAAGUCAAAGAUCCACAUGCUUGUUUGCGAGAGACUGAAGUGAAAUUGUCUUUUUGGUGUAUAGCCAGCUUGUCUGCAUUAUUGUACAGUUUGAAUACUACCCUAACAUAGCUGUUGAGAUCUGUAAAGUGGAUAACAAACAUACUAUUCAUUUCAUUUUUAUACUCAUUAAACAGUUCUGCAACUCCUCUAUUCUUAUGUGGAAACAGCUGCAUUUGUUGCUUUGCAUUUAUUCAAGUUUUCCUGUGAUUUCGCCCCAUAUCCAUUCUGUGAGGCAUCACUGAAAUCGUGCAGGACUGUAUGGUGACAAAGAAUUUCAAAAAAGGCUUCCUUUACUUUCUCCUACAGUUGGAAUGACUUUAAAUUGCAAAGGCAUUGCUGCAACUUGAUUGUUGAGCCCUGAAAUGUAUCCUGUAGUUUCUAGCUUUCUGAUGAUGCAUAACACUUUUAAGUGGUACCUACUGUUGACCCUGCAGUCUCUGUAACUGCAACCCAACCACCUCAGCCCACCACCCCCCCCUGCUAAAAUGCAGCAGCAGCAAGCACUCUCAGUUAUUUAUAGCUGCUGGUUGCUCAGAUAAGUAAAGAGUGUUGUUUAAAGGGAAACAUGGAGGAAUGCAUAUGUACAUGAGAUAGCAGUCCCAUGACAUAAUCACAUGUUGGAAAAGUUGCAGAUAAUUUAGCUUUGCACCUGCAUUAUGUGCUGCUGAAAGCACUGUGUUGUGGCCUGUGGCUCUCGUCACUUUUUAUGUUUUUAGUGUUUGUUGCACGAGCUGCACUAAAGCCGCAGCAUAUACAUCUCUGUGUGUGUAUAGAGGAUGUGGGGUUUUGUU